UGGGGAAUAUUGCACAAUGGGGGAAACCCUGAUGCAGCAACGCCGCGUGAAGGAAGACGGUUUUCGGAUUGUAAACUUCUAUCGACAGGGACGAAGAAAGUGACGGUACCUGAAUAAGAAGCCCCGGCUAACUACGUGCCAGCAGCCGCGGUAAUACGUAGGGGGCAAGCGUUAUCCGGAAUUACUGGGUGUAAAGGGAGCGUAGGCGGCAUGGUAAGCCAGAUGUGAAAGCCCGGGGCUUAACUCCGAGGAUUGCAUUUGGAACUAUCAAGCUAGAGUACAGGAGAGGAAAGCGGAAUUCCUAGUGUAGCGGUGAAAUGCGUAGAUAUUAGGAAGAACACCAGUGGCGAAGGCGGCUUUCUGGACUGAAACUGACGCUCAGGCUCGAAAGCGUGGGGAGCAAACA
rnacentral:rRNA from 1 species